GACGAACGCUGGCGGCGUGCUUAACACAUGCAAGUCGAACGGAGUGGCGAACGGGUGAGUGACACGUGUGUGACCUGCCCUGCACUUCGGGAGAAGCCUGGUAAACUGGGUCUAAUACCGGAUAGUGUGGGCUGGGCGUGCGGCCAAUCUGCUUGGUGGUGGGGUAAUGGCCUGCCAAGGCGGCGACGGGUAGCCGGCCUGUGAGGGUGGACGGCCACAUUGGGACUGGGGCACGAGCCAUACGCCUACGGGGGGCAGCGGUGGGGAAUAGUGCGCAAUGGGCGGCAGGCUGAAGCAGGGACGCCGCGUGGGAGAUGACGGCCUUCGGGUUAGAAAGUCCUUACGCCAUCGACGCGGUAGAUGGAGAGGAAGCACCGGCUAACUACGUGCCAGCAGCCGCGGUAAUUC
rnacentral:rRNA from 1 species